rnacentral:rRNA from 1 species
GAGUUGCGAACGGGUGAGUAACGCGUAGGUAACCUGCCUGGUAGCGGGGGAUAACUAUUGGAAACGAUAGCUAAUACCGCAUAAGAACAUUUACUGCAUGGUAGAUGUUUAAAAGGUGCAAAUGCAUCACUACCAGAUGGACCUGCGUUGUAUUAGCUAGUAGGUGAGGUAACGGCUCACCUAGGCGACGAUACAUAGCCGACCUGAGAGGGUGAUCGGCCACACUGGGACUGAGACACGGCCCAGACUCCUACGGGAGGCAGCAGUAGGGAAUCUUCGGCAAUGGGGGGAACCCUGACCGAGCAACGCCGCGUGAGUGAAGAAGGUUUUCGGAUCGUAAAGCUCUGUUGUUAAGGAAGAACGAGUGUGAGAAUGGAAAGUUCAUACUGUGACGGUACUUAACCAGAAAGGGACGGCUAACUACGUGCCAGCAGCCGCGGUAAUACGUAGGUCCCGAGCGUUGUCCGGAUUUAUUGGGCGUAAAGCGAGCGCAGGCGGUUAGAUAAGUCUGAAGUUAAAGGCAGUGGCUCAACCAUUGUAGGCUUUGGAAACUGUUUAACUUGAGUGCAGAAGGGGAGAGUGGAAUUCCAUGUGUAGCGGUGAAAUGCGUAGAUAUAUGGAGGAACACCGGUGGCGAAAGCGGCUCUCUGGUCUGUAACUGACGCUGAGGCUCGAAAGCGUGGGGAGCGAACAGGAUUAGAUACCCUGGUAGUCCACGCCGUAAACGAUGAGUGCUAGGUGUUAGGUCCUUUCCGGGACUUAGUGCCGCAGCUAACGCAUUAAGCACUCCGCCUGGGGAGUACGACCGCAAGGUUGAAACUCAAAGGAAUUGACGGGGGCCCGCACAAGCGGUGGAGCAUGUGGUUUAAUUCGAAGCAACGCGAAGAACCUUACCAGGUCUUGACAUCCCGAUGCCCGCUCUAGAGAUAGAGCUUUACUUCGGUACAUCGGUGACAGGUGGUGCAUGGUUGUCGUCAGCUCGUGUCGUGAGAUGUUGGGUUAAGUCCCGCAACGAGCGCAACCCUUAUUGUUAGUUGCCAUCAUUCAGUUGGGCACUCUAGCGAGACUGCCGGUAAUAAACCGGAGGAAGGUGGGGAUGACGUCAAAUCAUCAUGCCCCUUAUGACCUGGGCUACACACGUGCUACAAUGGCUGGUACAACGAGUCGCAAGCCGGUGACGGCAAGCUAAUCUCUGAAAGCCAGUCUCAGUUCGGAUUGUAGGCUGCAACUCGCCUACAUGAAGUCGGAAUC